AGAGCAACUAGGCCUCAUGCCUUUAGAAUGCUUAAAGUUUGAAGAUGAACAUUGAAAGGACCAUAUUCUAAACUCCCUCUUGUCCAUUCUUUGAUUGUUAAUAGAACUUUUUGAUGUGUGUUGUCUUUGUGCUAGGGACUCUAACAUUGAGCCAAUUUGGGGAACCAUUGCCAUGGGCUUCUAAGAGAGAGAAAUCCAAG
rnacentral:lncRNA from 1 species